GCAAGUCGAACGGUAACAGGUCUAGCUUGCUAGAUGCUGACGAGUGGCGCACGGGUGCGUAACGCGUAUGCAAUCUACCUCUAACAGGGGGAUAGCCCGAAGAAAUUCGGAUUAAUACCCCAUAAAAUAUUUAUCUCGCAUGGGAUUGGAUAUUAAAGUUUUAACGGUUAGAGAUGAGCAUGCGUGACAUUAGCUAGUUGGUAAGGUAACGGCUUACCAAGGCAACGAUGGGUAGGGGGCCUGAGAGGGUGGUC
rnacentral:rRNA from 1 species